UACGUAGGUGGCAAGCGUUGUCCGGACUUAUUGGGCGUAAAGCGCGCGCAGGCGGUCCUUUAAGUCUGAUGUGAAAGCCCACGGCUCAACCGUGGAGGGUCAUUGGAAACUGGGGGACUUGAGUACAGAAGAGAAGAGUGGAAUUCCACGUGUAGCGGUGAAAUGCGUAGAGAUGUGGAGGAACACCAGUGGCGAAGGCGACUCUUUGGUCUGUAACUGACGCUGAGGCGCGAAAGCGUGGGGAGCAAACAGG
rnacentral:rRNA from 1 species